GCAUUACUAGAUGGUGUAUGUUAACAGUUCAAAUUGCUUUUGCAGAACAUUGUCAUUCAGGAGUGCUUGGCCAGACUGAGGGAAAGACUGCAGUGUGCCCUCAACAACAACCCUCCUGAUCUUGACUAUUUAGAAUAUAUAGUUACCCAAGAGAGGACCUUCAUAGAUGCAAUGGAGAAUGUAGCUCUGCCUAAUGAUAUGUGAAACCCUCCAUCAACUGAGCAGUUUGCUUGACUUGCGGAAUAAACCUCCCCCCUCAAUAUCUGUGGUGAGGAGUAUAGGUCCCCAUGGACGUUUAAGACUACAGGUCACAGAGGACCACCUCCAAAGUCUUCUUCAUUUAGGUCUACCUGCCACAUGUGUAGCAGACAUUCUUGGAGUCUCAAGAAGAACCAUAUACAGGAGGAUGCAGGAGUACAACAUGUCAGUUAGGAGUCUGUAUUCCACCAUGACUGAUGAUGCUCUGGAUAAUGAAGUGAGAGCCAUCAAAUCUAGACUACCUCAUGCUGGAUACCAGAUUGUCAAGGGGUGUCUUGAAGCAGAGGGCCACCAUGUACAAUGGACCAGACUCAAGGCCUCUAUGCAUAGAGUUGAUACAGAGGGCAUCUUAUCAAGAAUGACAAGUAUGGGCUGUGUUGUUCGUCAAAAAUACUGUGUUCAAGGCCCACAUUUUCUGCAGCACAUAGAUAUAACAUGGUGAUAUUCGGUGGCAUUGAUGGCUACUCUAGGAAGAUCAUGUACCUCAAUGCUGGAUCCAACAACACAGCAAGCACUGCACUUCAGUAUUUUCUGGAUGGAGUGAGGAGAUUUGGAUGGCCUUACAAGGUAAGAGGUGACCAGGGUGUUGAAAAUGUCAGCAUUGCACAGAUGAUGUUCACUGUGAGAGGCACAGGACAUGGAAGCUUUAUAAGUGGAAAAAGCGUGCACAACCAGAGAAUCGAACGUCUAUGGAGGGACGUUUGGACAGGAGUUACACACAUUUACUAUGACGUAUUACACAACCCGGAGGAAGAUGGAUCCCUCGACAUCUCGGAUAACCUUCAUCUCUUCUGUGCUCAGUACACCUUCCUCCCCCGACUCAAGGCUGAUUUGGCCAAGUUUUCUGCCGGAUGGAAUGAUCAUCCUAUCAGGACAGAGGGCUUCCUUUCCCCAAACCAGCUAUGGGAGCUUGGGAUGCUGCAGCACCCCAUCAGAGAGCCUGAGAUGUCUCAGGAAAAUGUGGCAGGUCUCCAAAUUGAGCAUAUUGAUUGGGAGAGCUCAGUGCUCUCUCAUGACAACUCUGCUAACCCAGGUGUUACCGUGCCAGAAAUUGAAUGUCCAUUGAAGACCGAGGACAUUGAAGCUCUAUGUCUUGCCGUUGAUCCCCUUUCUCAUUCAAUUAGUUUUGGAAGAGACAUUUAUUUGACCACGCUUGCACAUGCCUUGUACCUACUUCACCAUCAUUGACAGUCGUGUACCAAUCCGAGAAACUAAUUGAAACUAAAUAAAUAACAAA